rnacentral:tRNA from 1 species
GGGGAUAUAUUUCAACCUGGUAGAAGAAGCGCCUCCAAAGCGCUGGAUGUAGGUUCAAAUCCUACUAUCCCCA